rnacentral:rRNA from 1 species
AUGCCGGAGAGGCUGUCUGGUUUAUUUAGAUGCUCUUCUCAAACAAGGUGGAGGGCCCGGUGGGUAGUACCCAUCGAUGGUUGGCUCAAGCUUAAUACAAGCGUAGCGGUAGACAACAAUGGUGGACAUGUAGCAGCAGGUGUGAUAGCCCAGGAUCAUGUGGGAAGUUUCAUGGCGGCGAGAAUGGUAAAGCUCAUUGGACUGACGAAUCCAUACUCUGCUGAGCUACUAGCUGUGUGGAGGUGGUCUACCUAG